rnacentral:tRNA from 1 species
ACUUCGGUGGUCUAAAGGCUUAGAACGCUCGUCUAGAAAUCAAGAGAUCCAGGUUCGACUCCCGGCUGAGGUA